UACGUAGGGGGCAAGCGUUGUCCGGAUUUAUUGGGCGUAAAGAGCGUGUAGGCGGCUUUACAGGUCCGUUGUGAAACUCGAGGCUCAACCUCGAGACGCCGGUGGAAACCGUAAAGCUAGAGUCCGGAAGAGGAGAGUGGAAUUCCUGGUGUAGCGGUGAAAUGCGCAGAUAUCGGGAAGAACACCCGUGGCGAAGGCGGCUCUCUGGGACGGUACUGACGCUGAGACGCGAAAGCGUGGGGAGCGAACGAGG
rnacentral:rRNA from 1 species